AAGCGGCAAUAGCUCAAAUUUGAAAUCUGGCCCUUUCAGGGUCCGAGUUGUAAUUUGCAGAGGGCGCUUUGGCGUCGGCAGCAGCCUAAGUUCCUUGGAACAGGUCAUCAUAGAGGGUGAGAAUCCCGUAUGUGGCUGCUUGUCUUCGCCGUGUAAAGCCCCUUCGAUGAGUCGAGUUGUUUGGGAAUGCAGCUCUAAAUGGGAGGUAAAUUUCUUCUAAAGCUAAAUAUUGGCCAGAGACCGAUAGCGCACAAGUAGAGUGAUCGAAAGAUGAAAAGCACUUUGGAAAGAGAGUCAAAAAGCACGUGAAAUUGUUGAAAGGGAAGCGCUUGCAGCCAGACGUGCCCGCAGUUGCUCAUCCGGGGUUCUCCCCGGUGCACUCUUCUGUGGGCAGGCCAGCAUCAGUCCGGGCGGUCGGAGAAAGACCUGUGUCAUGUAGCUCUCUUCGGGGAGUGUUAUAGGGGCAGGUGGAAUGCGACCAGCCUGGGACUGAGGUCCG
rnacentral:rRNA from 1 species